rnacentral:lncRNA from 1 species
CGGCUGCGGAGGCUGGCGCGGGCUGCUGCACCUUUAACGCUUUCUGGCGCUGACAGGCGGCGGCCCAGCUAAAGUUCACAGCGCCCGGGGAGGGCCCGCCUCCGCCUCCCCUCCCGCCCCCGCCUCCCCUCCCCCAGGCCGGCCCCGGCCCCCGGCCCCGGACAGGCCCGCCGCGCGGCCGCUUGAGCUGCGAGCUGAGGAGGCCCGUUGGCUGUUCCCGCAAAGAGUGGGGGGCGCAUUUUCUCUCCUGCCAGCCCGCUCCAUCCUGGUCGUUUAUUCCCGGCCUUCCCUCACCCCCCACCCCCACAGCCUGCUGGGAAACCAGACGACCCAGCGGCCACGGGACGAGUCACCCCAACUCAACCCCAGCAGGACGCUGGAGGGGCCUCCCUUGCCCACCUCUCUUCGCUAGCACUGGCCUCCCGCACCUGGGUCUGCAGUCCCUCCGCCAUCUCACAAGUGUGCAGCCGCUAGGCCUGGGGGAUCCGAAUGACUGGGGCUGGAUAGGAAUGCCUUCGUGUUUCCCAAGACCCCCGGGCCUGCUCCACAAAGUUUGAAGGGCUCUUUAUUAAAAAAUUUAAAAGGAGGAGUUGAGGCGCCUUGAAUUUUCCUUCGCGAGUUUGGAGACCAGCCGAUUUUUCAUGAAGCAAGCAAGGGCCGCGGUCCCGGAUCCUGCAACAUAUACCUCAUUUUCUCCAGGCCUCUCCACUUGCCCGAGCUCUCAGCCACCAGGAGACAGACGGAAGGGGCUUCUGGGCUGUGUUGGGAGCGGGCAUUGUCCCCUACCCACUCCUGCACAGUUUCCCAAAGUCCAGCGACCUCCGACCCUCCUUGGGGAAAAAAAUACCAGUACCCAGACACCUCUGCACCCUGUUAUAUGACUGGGCUUGCUUCAGGAAUAUCUUACAAAGAAGAAGAAGGAGGAGGAACGGCUUGGAGUCAUGUUUACAUCUAGUUCUACUGAUCCGUUCACAUCUGGAGAGUUUAUUUAUAACUCCCUCUAUAACUCUCUGUUUGGAGGCACUGGUGGCUCUACUGACAGACUGAUGUCUAGGAAAUAUUGCUCUAUGUCUAAUGGUACCUAAAUGUGCUGUGGUUGUAUUUACAGAUUUACGUUUGAGGGAAAUAUAAUUAUUUCCAUUGUAUUUGUGCAUAUACAGUAGUUAUAGGAGCAGAUUUAUAUAUGGGAAAAUAUGCGACUCCCUUACAGCCAUCCGGCUUUAUGUACAUUUGAUAUCCUGACAGAUUUAUAUCUCUGAAGAGCUAUAUAGAUUAAAACGUAUAUUGUUAGAAUUAUGUAUCAGGAGAUAUAUACUUAUUGAUUGCGAAAUAGAGUAGUUAGAGCAUUCACUUAGAGCCAUAUAUGGCUAUGGAGAUAUUUCUAUAUUAUUAUCACUAUAUAUAGGCAUAUCUAUUUAUAACUGCAUAGUUAUAAAAAUAGACAUAA